rnacentral:rRNA from 1 species
GGACCCGCACAAGCGGUGGAUGAUGUGGAUUAAUUCGAUGCAACGCGAAAAACCUUACCUACCCUUGACAUGUCAGGAAUUUUGCAGAGAUGCGAAAGUGCUCGAAAGAGAACCUGAACACAGGUGCUGCAUGGCUGUCGUCAGCUCGUGUCGUGAGAUGUUGGGUUAAGUCCCGCAACGAGCGCAACCCUUGUCAUUAGUUGCUACGCAAGGGCACUCUAAUGAGACUGCCGGUGACAAACCGGAGGAAGGUGGGGACGACGUCAAGUCCUCAUGGCCCUUAUGGGUAGGGCUUCACACGUCAUACAAUGGUUGGUACAGAGGGUUGCGAACCCGCGAGGGGGAGCUAAUCCCAAAAACCAAUCGUAGUCCGGAUUGCAGUCUGCAACUCGACUGCAUGAAGUCGGAAUCGCUAGUAAUCG